rnacentral:rRNA from 1 species
CCUACGGGUGGCAGCAGUGGGGAAUAUUGCACAAUGGGGGAAACCCUGAUGCAGCGACGCCGCGUGAGUGAAGAAGUAUUUCGGUACGUAAAGCUCUAUCAGCAGGGAAGAAAAUGACGGUACCUGACUAAGAAGCCCCGGCUAACUACGUGCCAGCAGCCGCGGUAAUACGUAGGGGGCAAGCGUUAUCCGGAUUUACUGGGUGUAAAGGGAGCGUAGACGGCAGCGCAAGUCUGGAGUGAAAUCCCAUGGCUUAACCAUGGAACUGCUUUGGAAACUGUGCAGCUAGAGUGCAGGAGAGGUAAGCGGAAUUCCUAGUGUAGCGGUGAAAUGCGUAGAUAUUAGGAGGAACACCAGUGGCGAAGGCGGCUUACUGGACUGUAACUGACGUUGAGGCUCGAAAGCGUGGGGAGCAAACAGGAUUAGAUACCCGAUC